GCGCGCGUAGUUCAAGCAGUCAGAACGCCCCAAUAUCCGGAUGGCGAGGGGAAACGCGGGUGCAGGUCCCGCCGCGCGCA
rnacentral:tRNA from 1 species